ensembl:lncRNA
UAUUUUUGCCUGUCGCUUAUCAUCUGGUUGAGCCGGUGAUGGGGUCCUGGCCCAUGCGUAUUACCAGAGGGCACUCAGGAGCCCCAGAUGGUGAGUGAACACUGAGCUGGGCAGCACAGACACAGGACGCUGCCUCCAUCGCAGAACGUUCUCCUAGACGGCACUGUUCCAGAUCCCGAUGGGUUCGUGUCAGAAAAUCCAAGGCUGCUCUACCCGCCUGCUCUGGUCCCCCUCUCUCUGCCACCCCACUUCCCACCCCCACCCCCUGGGCCCAGGGCCUUCGUCUUGGCCCAGGGAACAUCAGUUCAAGUGCUGUGGAAGCAACAGCUCAGCGACCGGCAGCACAGUGCGUACCUGCUGCCUCGGGAGGCAGGAGACCCCAGUGCCCGACAGCUGCUGCAAGGCGGUGGUGGCACUCCGCAGCCAGCCAGCCCCCCCUCCAACAUCUGCAAGGGUGGGGACUUGCACAAGUGCCCAAGUACAAGCUGGGGACGAGGAGAGGGCCCCAGCCUGGCUCCAGGAGCCCGAAAAGGGCCGCGUGAGGCAGAUGGGUGUGGGAAAAGCAGAGCACACAUGCUCCUUGGCCAUGAAUCCACAGUGCCAGGCCUUCAGAGGCUCUACAAAGUCCUGGGACAAGCAGCUCCUACCGCAAGAGUCCAGGGCACUACAGCAUGUUCCUGGGGCCACUCACGAAACCUGUGAGCCAUUCAAGGCCCGGUCCAUCCCAUGAGUCCUCUGGUCCAUUUUCUGCCUAUGCCACAUACAGCACGACAGCCAGCCCUUCCUCCCCACCUGUGCCUGCUCCUGGGCCAAAGCCAUGUCACCUGCCCUUCCCUUCCAGGGAUGCUGCCUCACCAAGCUACCCGCUACUCAUGGCAGUGGGCAUCGGGGUGGCCUGCCUGCGGGUGAGUCGCAGUUGGGGGACUAAGAGGAAGGUAUGUGGAAGGGCUCUGAGCCCCUCUCCAGUGGCCAAGAUCUCCAGUAACUGGGCUGAAAUAACUGGCCCUUGGCAUGUCCGUGCACUGCCCUGCUCUCUUCUCUUCCCUUCCCUUUGCAACCAAGGCUGAACCCCACACUCAGUCUGUUCUCCCAGAGAACAUGAAGGAAGGUGCCUGAGGGUCAACAUGAACUCCUAAGGCACAGGGGCGUGGGAGGAGUGUGGUUGUGGGCUGGGGCACAUGCACCUCGAGCGUGUGCGUGUGGGGGUGAGUGUGCCGGUCUGCCGUGGUGUGUGGGGGUCCAUGGGGCUUGGCGUGCUCCUGGGUCUAUAUGGUUGGGGUGGUAUGCACGAUGUGUGUUUAGGAUGUUGUGCAUGUGUGAGUGUGUAUCUGCACUCAUUCCUUUGUGUGUUUGUGUACGUGUGUGUGCAUGUGUUUGUGUGUGUGUGUGUGUCAUCAGCCCUCCAUAUCCAUGGGUUCUAUAUCCUUGAAUUCAACCGACCAUGGAUCAAAAAUACUCAAAAAAAAAAUGGAUACACUGAACACCCUUGUCAUCACCCCCUAAACAAUAAGCAUAACCACUAUUCACAUGGCGUGUGGGUUAGGUAUCACAAGUAAUCUAGGGAUGAUUUAGAGACACGGGAGGAUGUGAAGAGGUUAGAUGCAAAUACUGCUCCCUUUUAUAUCAGAGACUUGAGCGUCAGUGGAUUUUGGAAUCCAGAACAACUCUGUGUGUGUGUAUGUGUGUGUGUGUGUAUGUGUGUAUGUCUAUGUGUGUAUGUAUGUGUGUAUGCACAUGUGUGUAUGUAUAUGUGUGUAUAUGUAUAUGUAGGUGUUUGUGUGUGUAUGUGUGUGUGUGUUUAUGUGUGUAUGUGUGUGUAUAUGUAUGUGUAUAUGUAUGUGUGUAUGUAUAUGUGUGUGUAUAUGUAUGUGUCUCUGUGUCUGUGUGUGUGUGUGUGUGUGUGCAAGCACACACAUUCCCCUUAUAUAUGCAGCUCUCUCCCUGAGGAUGGGCAAGGGCAUUGGCUCCCAUUUCUCCCCUUCCACCCAGUCCCCCAGCUGCCAUGCAAGAGUCAAGGUCACUCUCUCCCGCUGCUCUAGUCAAGGGUCUAGAAUCUGCAGAGCGAGAGCCCUUCAGGUUUGGGCUGUUCUUCUAGAAGGAGCACAGCAGCCCUGCUGUCCUGCCCAGCCCUUCCCCGUCCAGGUCUGUGAGCACCAGCUAGGGAAGAGGAAGAGUCACGCUUAGGCCCCAGAAGACCCAAGUCCAGUCCUGGCUCUGCUCCUGUGUGACCUGCAGCUACUAACCUCCCCGUCAUUCACCCCUUCGUCUGCAAAAUGUGCAUCAUUUCUUCAACCUCCCAAGGUCUAAAUAAGAAUGAGGUGAUUCCUGUGACCCACUUGCAGCGCCCGACACGCAGGAAAGCCUGCUAAGCCUUUAUCCAGCUGUCUGUAGACUUCAGAGGACUUCCGAUACAUACACUCAUUGUGUCCACACAACAACUGAGACCCAGGCCAGACGAGGAGUAGCGAUCUCCUCACUCUACAGAUCCGAAAGUUGAGACCAAGGGAGGCAUGUUACCCAGGGUCUCACCCCCUGAACUAGCACCCAGGUCUCCUGGCAUUGGCCCUUCGCUUUCUCGAACUCCCUACCCUGGCACAGAGGUCUUGGGAAAGAGAUGCAGGGGACUGUGGCUUUGGCUGGCUUGGAGAACCUUCCAGCACAGGGUCUGUUCAGAUGAUGGGGCCAGCUACCCACAUCAUCUGUGGGCCUGGAGGGGGCAGUGGCAGCCUCACGCCCUCGGAGGAGGGUCCCUAGCCUUUGGAGGGACACUCAUCUUGGUUCUGCCACCUGCAAGUUGUGUGACCUAGGGCCAGUUAUUUCAUCUCUGAGCCUCAGUCACUGGUUUGUGAAAUGGGGCUGACAAGACCUCAUCUGGUGGCCGGGGUGGGAAUUAGCAACACAAUCAUCUCUGCAAGGGCACACUUUCUAAAAAAAAAAAAAAAAAAAAGCCCCAGGUGCUCCCUGGCCAGACCAGCCUGCUCCCCUUCAUCCUCACUCACGUGCAGGGCCAGGGAACCCAGGAGGCGUUAGCAUUGCCCCUCUGGUGUGCCUCCCCAGGCCAGGUCUCCUGUCCUAUGUGCUGAACCCCAGAGAGCCACCACUGGGUGCUGGGGUAGGGCUGCUCUGUGCCGCUGCGCCAGGCUCAGCUGAGGUUUCCAGAAACCUGUGACUCCCGGUGCAGAGGGGGCCUGCUUUGUAUGGACACUGGCCAAGCCUGCGUCACUCUAUUUCUUCCUGACCUCUCUGGCUCCGAGAGCCCAUAGAAGCUGCAGACGAGGGCAGUGAGGCGGAGGGCAAGCAGUGGGGCUGCAGAUGCCCUGAGCCUAAGGUCCUGGUGGAUGGAGCUGUUGUGUAAGUCUGAUGCAGAGGAAGCCAGGUCGUUGGGCAGUGGACACUUCCCCCCAUCCCCGGUUCACAACCCCCACCAUGCUGUCUCUGUUCCUUCAUGGUCACCGUGGAAUGGUUUCUGGUGGCGCUCAACCCCUUGCCCUAUUUUCUCCCCGUGGUCCACUGAGCCAGCCCAGCCGCUGCCAAGCCUCGAGUUAGAGCUCCCUCUGGCUGCCAAUGCUGGGCACUACACUGCCCAAGUCCCAGGUGGGUCAAAGGCUUGAGAAAGGGCUGGUGGUCAUCCUUGCCAGCAGGCAGACACCAGGCACCUACCUCCCUCACAUUCCCAGCCUGGUACUUCGAAGACCGGUAGCCUUGAGCUACCCUUAGGGUUUCCAGUAGUUUCAAAACCGUCUAGCUCACCUUUCAGGAAACUUCCAAGAUUAACGUUCCGAUUUUUCAGUGAGGUUCUCACCUCUGUGAUCAGUUGCCUUGAGAUCAAUGUCCUGCACCAUUCUGGCAUGUUAACUCCAGAUGGCUUGUGAACCACAGGAUGGUUUGUGAACACUGAAAACUGAGCAGAAUUUCAGCCAGGUAUUUGGCAAGACGUCGUUUGCUGCCUUGUGGACAUGCGGGCCAGGGUCUUACACGCUUAGGGGAAAUCACGGCAGGCUGGAGGACCACACUGCAGAAGGGAAAUCAGAGGGCUAACGUCGGCUUGGAGAAAGGUUCCAGGAGUGGCUGUGGCCUUCAGACUGAGACCUGUUGCUCCACGUUUUCCCUGGCGAUGGAUGAAACCCAGGAAGCAUGCUGAUCAACCCUGAUAAUUGUUGCCCCAUCUGCAGAAAUGGCUGAGCUGUGGAGUGAUAAAGCCAGCAUUGAAAAAACAGCCUGGUGGAUGGGAAGAGCCUGCUGAAGCAAAGGGUGAAACAUUUUAGCAGAGUGAAAGUCCUUACAUAUAAGCUUUGUCUUCUUUUGCAUUUAAGCCCAUCACAGAGGGAGGGCACCUACCUGAGUUAGACAGUAGGGUGCUGCCCACAGAGAUAGGGCCUGGAACUUCAUUGACAGAAAUCACGGACAGAGCCAGGGUGUGGGAGGUGCCAGCUCAGGCCACCUCUAGGUGGGAUCAGGCCUCCACAGAGUCACCUGCAUAUUGGGAUCACCCAGCAAGCUUUAAAACCACCCCAGACCCAGGCACGCCCCAGCACAACGCAAUAAAAUGGUCUGGGGCAUCGACGUGUUUGUAAAGCUCUCCAGUGAUUCCACUGUGCAGCCAUGUCCUGCGUGUGUCAAGGGGCACGUGGAACCUGGAAGUCAGAUACGGCAGAGGUCAGGAGAUGGGGCGCAGACAGCGUCCACACCGUCUUGGAAUGCCCAAGGCAGUCAUUUAUGGGGUGCAGGGGAGUUUUCCUGAGGUUCCAGAGGAUGGAACAGGAGCAGCCGGUGGAAUUUACAAGGAGGCACGUUCUAGAAGUUUUAACAGUUAAAAUUGUUCCACAGCGGCCCUUACAGAGCAUUAAGCCUUCUGUGGCUGCUUGUUGGGGCAGAGGCUGGGCACCAGCAAGGAGGCUGUAGGGAG